CAGUGAUAAUUAUUGCUAGCCCUUUAUGUCAUCCGGUACUAACAGGAAAUUAUUUCAUUUUUUAGGUUAUACAAGUCACGUUAUUUCCCCCGACACAAAGACAUAAUCGACUAAAACACUGUCUCAGGAGCCUUUUCUUGUGUUCCUCUUAUAAAUUGUAGUGGUACUUUCUAUAUUAUUGCAUUGUUAGGGGAGCCCGAGACUCGAGUAUAUCAUUGCUGUUGCUUUAAUUGUUGUGAAUAUGACAAAUAAACCAUCUUGAAAACAGCCAUAUCCUUUGAUUAAAAAUGAUUGAUCUCAAAAUUGAGGCAUUGAAAUUGACUACCGGUCCUCCAAUUUAUUUUAGGAAUAUGCCGGUCCUUGGAACAAAAAAGAUUGGAACCCCAGCUUUAGGUCCCUACGCUUCUCAAGAGCGUCCAGCUGUCAAAAAGUCCAGCGGCGCCAACCCUAUAAAUACCGAGUCGCUCUUUUAUGACGUUCUUCCUGGACCUUCUCUUGAGAGACUAAACUCCUCAACAUGAGAGCCAAGUGGAGGAAGAAGCGUAUGCGCAGCCCUUCAGGACUUGCGUUGAUCGCCGCUGUCGUCCAGGACCCCUGCGGACCACUGACGUAAUACCAGCCGGACAGUGACUUCAUAUCAACCAGCUGCAGAGGAGUAGCAGCGGGCCGGCUUAUUGAUAUGGAAGAGCUGAGUCCAGAUCUGGAUAUUUUGGACUUCGGACUCCCUUAUGCUCAUCCGUUUUUGUUUAUACUGUUAUGAAUAAAGAUUUUGUUUUUUUAAAACGAUUAAAUGGUCUGGAUUCCUAAUUUGAACAGUUUCAGUAUUUGCUAUCGAUGGACAUCGUUGACUCGUGUUGUCGUACUUUUAAAUGCCGUAGCUCUAGUUGUCUACUUAUUUACUGGUAAGCUACUUCGAUCACUUGCCACUAGAUGGCGUGUUGGUCUUGAAUGAUUAACCAACCCAUUUCACAGGCCUAAAUGUGUUUUUUUAUUUUGGUGCAAAGCUCAGGCCAAUAUUGCAGAGUUGGCAGUUGAACAUGUUUGCUCCCGCAACAUCAAUCAAUUUGCGAUAUCAAAUGCAUGACCCUAACUCGCUGUACUCUGUUGCAUGAAUUAUGACUUUCUUCCAGCCAUAUUAGUUCAUGCUCUUGUACCAGAGGAAAGUAGGACUAGA
ensembl:lncRNA